rnacentral:rRNA from 1 species
GACGAACGCUGGCGGCGUGCUUAACACAUGCAAGUCGAACGGUAAGGCCCUUCGGGGUACACGAGUGGCGAACGGGUGAGUAACACGUGGGCAACCUGCCCCAGACUUCGGGAUAACGCUUCGAAAGAGGUGCUAAUACCGGAUACGAACUCCUUGGGCAUCCUGGGAGUUGGAAAGCUUUUCGGUCUGGGAUGGGCCCGCGGCCUAUCAGCUUGUUGGUGAGGUAACGGCUCACCAAGGCGACGACGGGUAGCCGGCCUGAGAGGGCGACCGGCCACAUUGGGACUGAGACACGGCCCAGACUCCUACGGGAGGCAGCAGUGGGGAAUAUUGCACAAUGGGGGAAACCCUGAUGCAGCAACGCCGCGUGAGUGAUGAAGGUCUUCGGAUUGUAAAGCUCUGUCUUUGGGGACGAUAAUGACGGUACCCAAGGAGGAAGCCACGGCUAACUACGUGCCAGCCGCCGCGGUAA